rnacentral:rRNA from 1 species
GAUGAACGCUGGCGGCGUGCUUAACACAUGCAAGUCGAACGGUGAAAGCGGGAGCUUGCUCCUGCUGGAUCAGUGGCGAACGGGUGAGUAACACGUGAGCAAUCUGCCCCGAACUCUGGGAUAAGCGCUGGAAACGGCGUCUAAUACCGGAUACGACGCGCGACGGCAUCGUCUGCGCGUGGAAAGAACUUCGGUUCGGGAUGAGCUCGCGGCCUAUCAGCUUGUUGGUGAGGUAACGGCUCACCAAGGCGACGACGGGUAGCCGGCCUGAGAGGGUGACCGGCCACACUGGGACUGAGACACGGCCCAGACUCCUACGGGAGGCAGCAGUGGGGAAUAUUGGACAAUGGGCGGAAGCCUGAUCCAGCAACGCCGCGUGAGGGAUGACGGCCUUCGGGUUGUAAACCUCUUUCAGCACCGACGAAGCGAAAGUGACGGUAGGUGCAGAAGAAGGACCGGCCAACUACGUGCCAGCCGCCGCAGUAAAAC